UGUGUGUGUGUGUGUGUGUGUGUGUGUGUGUGUGUAGUGUAGAACGUCAAACGUGCGAUGAUAGUGGAACAGAAGGAAAAAAAACACACACGCUGUACCCACACACACGCGCGCACACACGCGCACACACA